rnacentral:rRNA from 1 species
GAUGAACGCUAGCUACAGGCUUAACACAUGCAAGUCGAGGGGCAGCACAGUGUAGCAAUACACGGGUGGCGACCGGCGCACGGGUGCGUAACACGUAUCCAAUCUGCCCGUUACUCGGGGAUAGCCUUCUGAAGGGAAGAUUAAUACCCGAUGGCAUGUAUUUCCGGCAUCGGAGAUACAUUAAAGAUUUAUCGGUAACGGAUGAGGAUGCGUACGAUUAGCUAGUUGGCGGGGUAACGGCCCACCAAGGCGACGAUCGUUAGGGGUUCCGAGAGGAAGGUCCCCCACACUGGAACUGAGACACGGUCCAGACUCCUACGGGAGGCAGCAGUGAGGAAUAUUGGUCAAUGGUCGAGAGACUGAACCAGCCAAGUAGCGUGAAGGAUGGCUGCCCUAUGGGUUGUAAACUUCUUUUGUUUGGGAAUAAAGUCAGGUACGUGUACCUGUUUGUAUGUACCAUUCGAAUAAGCAUCGGCUAAUUCCGUGCCAGCCGCCGCCGUAAAAC